UAUGGAGUGAUUAUUUUACUGGCAAUGUUCCACAAUAACGAACUGCACCAGUCCCUAGAAUCGAGGCAUUUGCAGUGUGGUUGGCGUGAUGUUCAGUCAGGUAUUCAUCCGUAUUACUUGAGUUAACCUGCACCAGACAGCCAUACCAGACAGCCACAUCGUCAGAGUUCCGACGAACAUCAAGUCGAGAAGACCAGGCAUUUGAAGAGAAAGAUGAAGGGCUUUCUGUGUUUGUUUGCUCUCUUGAGUCUGGGAUGUGUUUUGUUCACCGAGGCCCAAAACAGGGACGAAAAAGACUCCCUGAGCUUGAGGAAACUACUAUAUGAUCUUGGAGACUACUUGAGAUGGGAAGAAGUUGCCCGCAGCUUUGAAGAUGAUUUGGUCGGCAGGAGGUUGUCGCGCUGCUGCCCAGCCAUGUAUUGCCAUUCCGUUUGUCAUGACAAAAAUUGCUGUGAAAAGUAGCCCAACGCCGAGCACACCAUGUCACGGUACACGUACCAGCUGACUGGACGAUUUUGCCUCGAUAUACCUGAACAACAAUGCUAUUCUAUCUGAUGACAGUUCAGUUGAAAACUUUUUUAAACAGGGGCAAUGGUUAUUUCGACAGGUAUUUAACAAAAUUUUAGAUAACAAGGGGAAUUGAGUACAUUAUAGGUAUAAGGGUUCUGUCAGAAAUGCAUAUUUUCUUUCAGUUAUUAUCGCGUCUUAAAACAUCCCUACGAUCAUGUGUUUUCUUAACUAUUUCAUAAAUAAUGGUACUUUUUGGUUCCAAUUCAAAACCACUGAUAAGGUGAAUGGUUAUAAAACAAUAUCUAAUAAUUUUCCAAAGCUACUGUAAUUUUAUCUACUUUUACAUCCGAUUGGUUGAGACAUAAUUUGGAAUAAAAACAGUCAACAACAUUAAUCUCUCUGCAAAGAGACACGCGAUGGCGGUUACGCAACGUGGAACAAUAAGAUAAUCAUUAUAGUGCGUAACUCAAAGCAGCACUUCAUUAGAUAAUAACAAUUUUCGAUAUCCAUUCUAAUAUGUUUGUAAACUGUCGUAUGCAUUUUGAUUGAAAGUCGAUAUUUGUGUAGGUUUCUGCAGCGAAUGUUUGGGCUCAUAUAUAUUAACGGUAUUGACUGCUGUGAUGUGGGAUAUGAUGUUUGGAACACAUGAGGGACUCCUAGUACUUUGUUUGAAAAUUAUGAAAAUUAUUUCCUUUUUGCCUUUCCUUCAAAGCUUGUUAAAAAAGCCCCCAAAUCUAGCCUCACCGGUCAAAAAGGCCAGAAAAAGUUACAGAAAUAAAAUUCAAUAUUUUUUGCUCCCCUAAGACCCCCUUAAAGCCGGUACAGCGGUAGACGGCUACAGCCGCAGCUCUGUGUGAGGAUCAGUGCAUACCAUGUCCACAUACUUUCUAUCCAUCAUGCACCGGGGGUUUCAAUGCGGGCCUGCUGCUGCACAGGGCUUAGCAUACUGGGCAUACCGCAGCCCUGCUGUCGCGGUCAAAAGAAUACCAGCGUUUAAAUGUUUUUUCUCUUGGAACCUGGCGAAUUGUUGACAUCACUUUCUGUGACACUCAACCCAAGUUAAUUAAAGACAUAAAGCCGAACAAUA